CAGCACCUCCCUGGUUGCCGUGGCGACCGAGGGCGCGCGGCGGGAGCUCCCCGCCCAGCGCUUGCUGCUCCUGAGGUCGGUUCGCGCCAGCUGCUCCGGCCAGGCGCGGCGCCGGACUCGGGACGUGGGGCCUGCACAGGCCGGCAGCGGGGCUCCGGGGAGAGCGGGGAACCGCGCCCGAGAGGAGGCAGUCAAGGCCCGGGGCCUGCCCGCUCUGGGAGAGACCCGGUUUCAAUCUUCGGAAGCUGCCUUUGCUGCGUCCUGGAUGCCCAGUGCCUGGCACGGAACGGGCGUUCGAUGAAGGGUAAAACAGGUCUCCAGCGUGGCUAAGACCCCAUUGAGACUGAUGGGCUCAACGUCGGAAGGACCCCAGGGGCACUCACAGUCUGGUAGACAACCCAGCUUCGGAAGCGAGCCCCAGAGAUGACUCUGGUCGUAUUCUGUCGAGUAAAAAAAGCAAACAGCCUCCUUCCCAAGGGCGACAGCCAUCUGUCCUACGUGCACCUGAGGUCAAGGCCCCAUGGACACCAGCGCUGCUCUAACGGAAGAGGCAUUUUUAAGAGAGGAAAGUGGGCAUAUGUUAAUACUCGACUUUCUCCUGAAGUAGCGUGAUCUAGUGGGAAAAGUAUGGGUAAUGAAUGGCUGGUGAGACAGGAACCUUGCUUGGUGUCCUGGCUCUGCCUCAGCUUCAGUGCAAAGCUCGUGAUGGGCACUUAGCUCCGUGAGGCAAGAAACUUAGAUUCUGGGAGCCUUGAUUUCCUUCCAUAAAUUCUAGAUAAAAUAGCUAUUAUAGAGUUGGGAGUAGUAGUAUGAGAAAUACAUGUACAUUUCCUAACGUGGUGUGGCACAAAAUCUUAAGUCUCCCUUUGCCCUUCUAUCUCUCAUUCUCCUCUAUUGUAUUUAUUUCAGUUCCUGUCUUAUCUUCCCGUGGAAAUUCUAAGUUCUUUGGACUGCCUUGUGUAUUAUGAAUCGUCCCUUCACAGUGCCUAGCAUGCAGUCGGCGCUCAAUUGACCGAGUGACUUAACGUCUUCUCCCCCUUUAUGAGACUGAUUUUGAGAGUAAAACAGUACGAUAGAUGUGCAUACACUUUUCUAACAUAAAAUAGCCAUAAAAGUGUAAGGAUACAAGCUGCAGCGCUUAAAACCCUAAAAAACAGGGUCUUUUCCCAAUAUAUUGAGGGCCCAGUAUAUUUG
rnacentral:lncRNA from 1 species